rnacentral:sRNA from 1 species
AAAUCUUCCCCCAAAUUCUGAUCAAUCGAAAUGGACACUCUUUUUUUUUGGGGGAACUUUUAACAAUGAUGUCAAAGCUUAAUUAAUGUCUCCUACAUAAACUGUCAUUCAAGUAGGCAUUUGCCACAUUUAGGAUUUUCCAAGAAAACAUUAACUCCCGCAAAAGAACCAUAUCGUUGUCAUUGUAUGAUAAGGCAGUUAAUGGAGCUUCAAUACCAUGUCAUUGUAUCCACCUAAGUAGUUUUAUGGAGGAGAAAAACUAUGAAAAAGUAGACACGCGGUUGAACAUAUGAAAAUCCAAAUGGUCGCAACAGAGUUUCCAUUAAAUGUUUUUGCCAUAAAGCCGCCCAAUAAUGAAACUGUCAUUCGGUUUUAUGACACAAAACAAACCGUAAAAGUCCAAAACAAUUUCAACGCAUCAACAUCAAUGUGAGCUGGUGGAGUAGGAGUAGCAUGGUGGCGCA